ACACAGAAUACCAAUGACUCUUAGACUCAUUCCCGGGCCUCCGGCUGACCACGGGAAAGGGGAUCUUCAGGAGCGGGUGUCUCAUGGCUGGGAAGAGGACGGCACAGGAGGGCUGGGGAACCCGAAUUGCAGCCUGAAUGGCCAGUGUCCUUUCUCCAGAAUGCAGUUCUCCCUUGCUCAGAAGAAAUGAGUCUGCCAGUGGGUACAACAUGAGAUGAUACUUCCACCCCCAUUGGUGACAGCCCUCACCUAGCUAUCAAGGUAUGCAGGGCUGACUUUUCACCUUCAGCCUGCUCCAGGGAAGGGCCAGAUGGCAUUCAGGCUGAUUCUGUGCUUCUGGCUGACUAAUCUCUCCAGGUACAAGAGUAAACAUGGAACGUGGGGACACCAUAUGUCCCUGACUCAUAGAGCUUGCAGGAAUCACCGUCAUUCUACGUGGCAUCUGCUUUCCUCGGCCGAGGUGGGAGGUGGGUCAAUGUAGCGGAGGAAACGUGUCUUAAAGUACAAGGCAGAGUGAACUGAAACAUAAAGAGAAGUGUGCACCUGGUAGUUGUAUCCUAAAUGACAUUUAUUUUCCAAAUGUGCUUUGUUUUGCUAGACAGUGUUCGACUUCCUUCACUCCUUCCAGGGGCCAGCAUGUGGCUGGCCACUGUCCACCCUCAGGGGUUGUGAACUGAAUUAAAGGGUUGCGUCCUUCAUCCAUUUUCUUUGCUGAACUGUCUUGAAUUUUACCCUAAGUUCAAAAUGAAGCAGACCAUAGCUGAGUUUAAAGGAGAUCCGAUUGACAUUGGGAAGUGGCACCCAAUAAGAUGGCUGUUUCUUCCGCCUGCUCCAGGGCUCGCCAACAGGAGAACUGAAAGCUGAAGCAUCUCAACCUGCAGAUACAUCUCAAAGGCCCCUUCAGCCGAUGUCCUCAGUGCCCUUGACACAGCCCCUUGGCACUUGCCUUCCACACACAUGCUGCUGCACCAGUUUCCUCCUGGUAGCAUCUUCCUUUCCGCCUGAGGAUUUCCCAGGCAUCCUGCCUCCAAGAAAGUCAGAAGUCAGUGCCUUCCUGAGAGCCGGUGAGAGCUCCGUCUCCCUUGGGCAAGUGGUGCUGAUGCCUGUUCCCUGCAUCCAUCUCUCAGAAGCCACAGCAGAACUGAGCUCCAGGGGCCACUGCGAGAAGCAUUUAUGGAGCUCGUGGAGUGAGGCAUCUCUUUAAUCCCUUCAGUAAGUCAGUGUGGGCCAAGGAGUCUGAGGAUCAGAGACCUUGUGACUUUUUAAGUGAAGAUUUACUAUGUGCUGGGGCCCAUUGUGUUUUAUUUUAUUGACUCGUCCCAAGCUCUAAGAGGGAGAGACCUUGAUUGUCCCAAUUUCACUGACACAGUUUGGGAAGGUUAAAACAUGAUGAAAGGAAAUAGACUGGAAUGAUACAGUAAUAUGGAAUUGAGCAUUUUCACCAACAUUUUUACAUGUUUUAAAAUGUCAUUUUCUGGCCAGGGGUGGUGGCUCACGCCUGUAACCCCAGCACUUUGG
rnacentral:lncRNA from 1 species